AAAGAUUAAGCCAUGCAUGUCUAAGUAUAAGCAAUUAUACCGCGAAACUGCGAAUGGCUCAUAAUAUAAGUUAUCGUUUAUUUGAUAGUACCUUACUACUUGGAUAACCGUGGUAAUUCUAGAGCUAAUACAUGCUAAAAAUCCCGACUUCGGAAGGGAUGUAUUUAUUAGAUUAAAAACCAAUGCCCUUCGGGGCUCUCUGGUGAUUCAUGAUAACUUCUCGAAUCGCAUGGCCUUGUGCCGGCGAUGGUUCAUUCAAAUUUCUUCCCUAUCAACUUUCGAUGUUUGGGUAUUGGCCAAACAUGGUUGCAACGGGUAACGGAGGGUUAGGGCUCGACCCCGGAGAAGGAGCCUGAGAAACGGCUACUACAUCCAAGGAAGGCAGCAGGCGCGCAAAUUACCCAAUCCCGACACGGGGAGGUAGUGACAAUAAAUACUGAUACAGGGCUCUUUUGGGUCUUGUAAUUGGAAUGAGUACAAUUUAAAUCCCUUAACGAGGAACAAUUGGAGGGCAAGUCUGGUGCCAGCAGCCGCGGUAAUUCCAGCUCCAAUAGCGUAUAUUAAAGUUGUUGUGGUUAAAAAGCUCGUAGUUGAACCUUGGGCCUGGCUGGCCGGUCCGCCUCACCGCGUGUACUGGUCCGGCCGGGCCUUUCCCUCUGUGGAACCCCAUGCCCUUCACUGGGUGUGGCGGGGAAACAGGACUUUUACUUUGAAAAAAUUAGAGUGCUCCAGGCAGGCCUAUGCUCGAAUACAUUAGCAUGGAAUAAUAGAAUAGGACGUGUGGUUCUAUUUUGUUGGUUUCUAGGACCGCCGUAAUGAUUAAUAGGGACAGUCGGGGGCAUCAGUAUUCAAUUGUCAGAGGUGAAAUUCUUGGAUUUAUUGAAGACUAACUACUGCGAAAGCAUUUGCCAAGGAUGUUUUCAUUAAUCAGGAACGAAAGUUAGGGGAUCGAAGACGAUCAGAUACCGUCGUAGUCUUAACCAUAAACUAUGCCGACUAGGGAUCGGACGAUGUUAUUUUUUGACUCGUUCGGCACCUUACGAGAAAUCAAAGUGCUUGGGCUCCAGGGGGAG
rnacentral:rRNA from 1 species